GCCAUUUUUGUCCCAGCCCAAUAAAUACAUAAUCCAUUUUUACAAAUAACCUAAACCCAUUAACCAAUUGAACCCAAUAAAGACCAAAAAUUAACCCUAGCCCAAUUACAGAGUGGCCCAAAAAGUUCAAAGAUCAGCAGAAACCCCAAGCAGUUUUCCCAGCGCCGCACACGUCCUCAUGUCGCAGCAACAGUCCCGUUGCUCCACGUUCUUGCUCGCACGUCCAGUAGCCCCGCACAACGCACGUUUUCCAUACACAUGCAACAAACAAUCGAUAAUGGCAGAAAAUAUGACAAAAAUGUAAAUGGGGGGAAGUUUUCGAGGGCUUGUUUUUUUUGAUUCGGCUAUAUAAAGGCCAAUCGAUCUUUGUAACGGGGUUAGCAAUUUUUUUUUGUACCGAAAUCAAAAAGAAAAUAUACAGAAAAAUAUUUUUGAAGGUGGGAUUUGGUUUUAUUUUUCUCUGUUCCUUUACUGUUUUUUUUUAAAAACUUAUUUUAGUUCUUUUCUUUUGCUUCUAAAAAACAACAAAUAAACAAAACGAGGGAGUAAAGGGAACUUACGCGUCGUUGAAGCUCCUUCGUUUCAUCGCCAUAGGAGCAGAGGAGGGCAGAAGGAGAACAUUACGGCGCAAUGUCAAAGAAAGAAAGAAAAUGUUCUUUUUAGGGUUUAAAAAGGGGGUUUUUG
rnacentral:lncRNA from 1 species